AAAGUGAAACGGACGAGUGGGUUUUAGAAGGUGGGAUCAUCGAAGCCUAGGGUUUUAGGAUUACCGACAAAAUCGAAAGGGAUUGUGAUCGAGGGUGUGGGGCUCGACAAACAAAGACAAUUUGGGGUUUGACGAAGUCGAUGAUGAGGGUUGGGAGACACGGGCUCGAUGAAGAGGUUGCUGUGACUUUUGGAAGGGGCGAUGCAGCUUACAAAGAAAAAGUAGGGCCACAAGAACGGAAAGAGUUGUGCGGGAUGAGAAGGGGGGCUGUAACAGAGAAACGAUGAGGGAACAACUCAACUAGAACAACGAAUCACCAGUACAGGGGAAGCUACCUCGCGGUAGGGAAAAACCCAGAGCGUCUGGGAGGAGGCGGCGACCAUGCGCCGAGGCCAUGGACGACGCUCUGUAUAUUGCAGUGUUACCACCAGCCAUGGACAAAUCCUGUAUUUUCAGAUCUAUUUGAUCAUCGAGGUUCCAAUUCACCGUCUGCAUCUCACGAACCAUGGAUUUCGCCAAGUGCUUCACAGAUCGUAGAGCGCAGUGAAUGACUUGGACGAAGUGGGUCGGGCUCAAAGACGAGAGCUUGCAGUUGUCGAACAAAGGCAAUACGCCGCUUGCGCUGCCAUAAACUUCAUCAACGCGACUUCACAAAGGGAAUUGUGAUCAAUCAUUCCCUCUGGAAAGAAUUUUGAACCGACAAGCAAAAAGUCUAACUAGGAUUGAGUUGUCGCUGCAGCUACAACUACGUGAAAGGCUGAGACAAGUCAAAUAAUAAGUAAAUCUUUAACCAGAGGUAUGGAGUGAUAUGACGUGACUCAAAGAUUUUCAAAUCAGACGAUUGAGCAUGGUAUGAAAGAAUCGGAUGGCUGUUUUCGGAUAAGAGAUGAGAGAUAUUUUGGUCAAUUAGGUCAACGGCAUUAAUUUAGAAGAAUAUACUUUGUCAAUCAUAUGCAUGCCCAAGGUUGGUCAAGCGUCAUUACUCAUUAUUGAUAGUGACUUAAAUAACUCACAAAAAUUUAGGAUGAUAUUAAGCAAUUCCUAAA